GCCAGCCGCUCAGAACUCAAGAAUUGACGGGGCCCGCACAAGCGGUGGAGCAUGUGGUUUAAUUCGAUGAUACGCGAGGAACCUUACCUGGGCUCAAAUGUAUGUUGACGUAUUCUGAAAGGGAUACUUCUUCGGACAAUAUACAAGGUGCUGCAUGGUUGUCGUCAGCUCGUGCCGUGAGGUGUCGGGUUAAGUCCCAUAACGAGCGCAACCCCUACCUUUAGUUGCCAUCAGGUAAUGCUGGGGACUCUAAAGGAACUGCCUACGCAAGUAGUGAGGAAGGCGGGGAUGACGUCAAAUCAGCACGGCCCUUACGUCCAGGGCUACACACGUGCUACAAUGGCCGAUACAGAGGGCAGCUACCUGGUGACAGGAUGCAAAUCUCCAAAGUCGGUCUCAGUUCGGAUCGGAGUCUGCAACCCGACUCCGUGAAGUUGGAUUCGCUAGUAAUCGCGCAUCAGCCAUGGCGCGGUGAAUACGUUCCCGGGCCUU
rnacentral:rRNA from 1 species